GGAAUGGUUUUCAUUGGUAAGAUAAUGCAUUUGCUAAAUGUUCGGGCUUUCUCCCUUAGGUGUUCGAAUCACCUCCAUUCCG
rnacentral:tRNA from 1 species